rnacentral:rRNA from 1 species
AGAGUUUGAUUCUGGCUCAGAACGAACGCUGGCGGCGUGUUUAAGACAUGCAAGUCGCACGGUGUCAUUUAUGUAGCAAUACUUGGAUGGCACAGUGGCGCACGGGUGAGUAACACGUGAAUGACAUGCCCUUGAGUGGGGAAUAGCCCAGGGAAACUUGGAUUAAUACCCCAUGGCAUCGCGAGAUUAAAGGCGGCCGCAAGGCUGUCGCUCAAGGAUUGGUUCGCGUUCUAUCAGCUUGUUGGCGGGGUAACGGCCCACCAAGGCUACGACGGAUACCUGGUCUGAGAGGACGAUCAGGCACACUGGAACUGAGACACGGUCCAGACACCUACGGGUGGCAGCAGUCGAGAAUAAUUCACAAUGGGGGCAACCCUGAUGGUGCAACGCCGCGUGGAGGAUGACGGUCUUCGGAUUGUAAACUCCUGUCAUCCGGGAGUAAGACCUGGGAGUUAAUAGCUCACAGGGUUGAUAGUACCGGAAGAGGAAGGGACGGCUAACUUCGUGCCAGCAGCCGCGGUAAUACGAAGGUCCCGAGCGUUGUUCGGAAUCACUGGGCGUAAAGGGAGCGUAGGCGGCGUGGUAAGUCAGACGUGAAAUCCCGGGGCUCAACCCCGGAACUGCGUCCGAUACUGCCAUGCUUUGAGGGUUGGAGAGGUAGCUGGAAUUCUUGGUGUAGCAGUGAAAUGCGUGGAUAUCAAGAGGAACACUCGUGGCGAAAGCGAGCUACUGGACAACACCUGACGCUGAGGCUCGAAGGCCAGGGGAGCGAAAGGGAUUAGAUACCCCUGUAGUCCUGGCAGUAAACGGUGCACGCUUGGUGUGAGGGGAAUCGACCCCCCUCGUGCCGGAGCAAACGCGUUAAGCGUGCCGCCUGGGAAGUACGGUCGCAAGACUAAAACUCAAAGAAAUUGACGGGGACCCGCACAAGCGGUGGAGUAUGUGGCUUAAUUCGAUGCAACGCGAAGAACCUUACCUGGGCUUGACAUGGAUUUCUAAGCACGUGAAAGCGUGUGACCCUUCGGGGAACUUCCACAGGUGCUGCAUGGCCGUCGUCAGCUCGUGUCGUGAGAUGUUGGGUUAAGUCCCGCAACGAGCGCAACCCU